UACGUAGGGGGCAAGCGUUGUCCGGAAUCAUUGGGCGUAAAGCGCGUGUAGGCGGUUUCGUAAGUCUGCUGUGAAAGUCGGAGGCUCAACCUUCGAAAGCCGGUGGAUACUGUGAGACUUGGGUACGGAAGAGGAGAGUGGAAUUCCUGGUGUAACGGUGAAAUGCGCAGAUAUCAGGAGGAACACCAACGGCGAAGGCAGCUCUCUGGGACGUUACUGACGCUGAGACGCGAAAGCGUGGGGAGCAAACAGG
rnacentral:rRNA from 1 species